GCUAGCUGUAAACCACUUCUGAUGAUAACAUACCUCCCCUUUUCUUAUCAUAGAGAGAAGAAAAAAGGGAAAAAGGGGAAGCCGAUGCUAAAAGGCUAAAAGACCUACAGGUGAUACGGAAAGAAAUCUGCUCACAGCUGACAGCAGCCUAUGCCCCGGAGACCCCUGAGUUCCAGGUCGGAGACUGCAGCUACACUGAACCCAGACUUUCGAGCCUCGCUGGAAAGGACCGUACCUGGUGCCGCUGACCACCCUGACAGCUGUCAAUUCUCAGCCCUCACCAGCCGUGUACUAGCUGUUGGUGCUGAGAGCUGGGACCUAGAGGGAAAUUCAGUAAAUUCAGUCAUGUU